rnacentral:rRNA from 1 species
GAGGGGAUAACAUCCGGAAACGGGUGCUAAUACCGCAUAGUUUUCUUGAUCGCAUGAUCGGGAAAGGAAAGACGGCCUUUGUGCUGUCGCUUAUGGAUGGACCCGCGGCGUAUUAGUUAGUUGGUGAGGUAACGGCUCACCAAGACGAUGAUACGUAGCCGACCUGAGAGGGUGAUCGGCCACAUUGGGACUGAGACACGGCCCAAACUCCUACGGGAGGCAGCAGUAGGGAAUCUUCCGCAAUGGACGAAAGUCUGACGGAGCAACGCCGCGUGAGUGAAGAAGGGCCUUUCGGAUCGUAAAACUCUGUUGUCAGAGAAGAACAAGUUGGAGAGUAACUGCUCCAGCCUUGACGGUAUCUGACCAGAAAGCCACGGCUAACUACGUGCCAGCCGCUGC